ACUAAGGCCUAUCCCGGCAGACUCCUCACAGUGAGCCCUAGUCGUUGGAAGUGCCUCAAAGAACAAACCUGUGGUUUAACGCUUUACCCUCAUGACUACUACCAUUAGCCUUGUGGGAUAUCACUGCAGAACAUGG
ensembl:snoRNA